AACAGAGUAAAACAGUUUCACUCAGUAAAACAGUUUUCUCUGACAGUGAACAAGUAGCCAAUUGGAAGACCAACACUUAGGUCUCCAGGUGGACAUUCCUGUGCAAAGUAUCUAAACUAGAGAUGGUUCUAUUGUGCAAAUGGAGUCUUUCUGUCAGGAAACUUUCGUUGUUUCUGGGAGAUGUCAGAGAAACUCUGUUGUGCUGGAUAACUAGAUAUGGCAUGGCUUGGGACAAAAGUGUGUGCUAAGGCAAGAAUAUUGCAGUUAGAAGUAAAUCACAUCCUUUUUAUAGAAUGUCUUUAACCUGUCAUGGGAGAUUAGUCUCAUAAGCACAAAGAAAAUAGGUGGAACGUAGUGAAGAGAGAAACAACAGGUGGUCUGGCCUGGUCUGCCGCGGGCGGGUAAUUUGGAAGACCAACAGAAGCUUGGAGAAAGAGUCAUGAGGGACAGGGAGACCAAAAAAACAACAGUUGAGCAGCAUGUGCUCAGCUUGGCUGAAGGACGUGGCAAUUGAUCGCUCUCACUAACACAGAUGAGAUUUAGCAGAAAAACAAGUUUCAUUCACAGAUCAAUAUCAAGUUUUCUGAGCUGGCAGUCAAGACAAAAGACCCUUUUUUUUUUUUUUUUUUUUUUUUUUUCUCACUUGUGAACUGAAUACUUUUAAUAUAAAAAUCAUUGACAGGAUUUGCAUGCAAAAUGAUAUACCAUUUUAACAGCUGCUUCUGUAGAAUAACUAUACCAUUGGGUACUCUUGCUCUCUUACACAGCUCAGAUUUCCAAAUACUUAUUCUGUUAUGGAAAAACAACAACAACAACUACAACAAACUUUCAAAAAUAUUGAAUUUUCUCAGGUUACUUUACAUUCAUGCAUCAGAAUAGAAGCUGGUCCAUAUAAGCCAAUAUAUUCAAUACAUUAAUAGGUGAGGUAGAAUAAUGAAAACAGGAAUUAAUGUUUCCUUUUUUGGUUUUGUAUUUUACUACUGGUGUGAAAAGUUAUUAGUAAUUAGAAUAAAUGGCUUAUUGGUGACAGUUGUCUCUGUUGUUUUAGAUGCUUGUAUGAAAUACAGAGAAGCCCUGAUGGUGAAAUGUAUUUGCAUUUGAUUUAGACAGAUUUCUGUCACUUUCAGCUUAAGUUUUUACAAACCUCUUUAAAUGUGCAGUAGGUUUUUUGUUUGUUUUCUUGUUUGUUGUAAAAAUGUUUUAAAAAGUGUUUGCAAGGAAAAACUAGAAAC